AACAGUAUCAGAAAUCGUAGAGCGUACGCGCCAACGUGAAACAUAUCGAAAAUCCGAUUAGAUCAAAAAUGUUAUAGCGAAUCAGUUUAAUCGAAAUCCAUUAAAUCGAACCCGUGAUUUCGAGUACUCCGAUAUCGGAGUAAUAUUACUCCUGGACUCGUUUAACGGACGGAUACUCUGGUACAGAGAAUACCUGCUCUACGCUAACAUUUCACAGAUUUAUGUACGAGAUGGUGCAUCGAAGUGACAAGUGACAUGCGAUGAACACGAACAUACAUCGCCAGGAACAUCGUUUACACUGUUCACAAGUGACGAGCAUCACUUCGACAGCACAACUUAUGAGACUUAUGAGAAAUUUAUCUUCCCUUAUCAUAUAUUAAACAUGACGAUCAUAAAAAUGGAUUAAUAUAUCAUUAUAAUAUACAAAAAGUUGUAUCUAUAUGGGAAACUUUUCAAAUUCACGUACAUGAUGGCGCAUAAAAUAGACGAUCGGGUCACUAGGGAACGGAAUCGAUUUGUCUUUUCUCGUGAAUUCACAUCGAAAGGUCAAACUGCCAGGAACUAUUUAUCAAGAAACCGGAAUACCAGAAGGAACACUAAAAAAAAAAGAAAGGAAGUCGCAAGAAAGAAUAAUGAACCUGCUUGAAAAAUCGAGGCACCUCACCAAAUUAUUGUUACUUUCUUCGUUGUGUUUUAUUCGCAGCGUUUCUAUACAAUAUUGCCGUUUAUCUACCUUCGUAAAAUAAUAACU